AUACGUAGGGUGCGAGCGUUGUCCGGAAUUACUGGGCGUAAAGAGCUCGUAGGUGGUUUGUCGCGUCGUCUGUGAAAUUCCGGGGCUUAACUCCGGGCGUGCAGGCGAUACGGGCAUAACUUGAGUACUGUAGGGGAGACUGGAAUUCCUGGUGUAGCGGUGAAAUGCGCAGAUAUCAGGAGGAACACCGGUGGCGAAGGCGGGGCUCUGGGCAGUAACUGACGCUGAGGAGCGAAAGCAUGGGUAGCGAACAGGAUUAGAUACCCUGGUAGUCCAUGCCGUAAACGGUGGGCGCUAGGUGUAGGGGUCUUCCACGACUUCUGUGCCGUAGCUAACGCAUUAAGCGCCCCGCCUGGGGAGUACGGCCGCAAGGCUUAAACUCAAAUGAAUUGACGGGG
rnacentral:rRNA from 1 species